rnacentral:lncRNA from 1 species
AGCUCCGUCACCUGAAAAUCCGAACAAAGGCACCGAAACUGCAGGUCGUAGAUCAGCACCAACAAUUCAAAUGUUGAAAACAGUCACAUUUCUAGUUUCCACACCCUACCAAUCAAUGACUUUAAAAACAAAACUAAGUCAUCAAAACCCUAUAGACGGAAGGGUAAAACAAUAUCCACAAGCUAGGGGGAAAUUAAGAGCAGGAAGUGAAUUCACCGCAAAUUUAAUUUUCCAAUGAAUUGUGCUCGGACUUUAUUCCCCGAGAAAGUGGUGGAGGAAGGUGUAUCUCCGUCUUCGGAAGGUGCCGCCGGCGAUCCCUUUCUUUGAAGCUGAAU